GACGAACGCUGGCGGCGUGCCUAAUACAUGCAAGUAGAACGCUGAAGGAGGAGCUUGCUUCUCUGGAUGAGUUGCGAACGGGUGAGUAACGCGUAGGUAACCUGCCUGGUAGCGGGGGAUAACUAUUGGAAACGAUAGCUAAUACAGCAUAAUAGUAGAUGUUGCAUGACAUUUGCUUAAAAGGUGCAAUUGCAUCACUACCAGAUGGACCUGCGUUGUAUUAGCUAGUUGGUGAGGUAACGGCUCACCAAGGCGACGAUACAUAGCCGACCUGAGAGGGUGAUCAGCCACACUGGGACUGAGACACGGCCCAGACUCCUACGGGAGGCAGCAGUAGGGAAUCCUCGGCAAUGGACGGAAGUCUGACCGAGCAACGCCGCGUGAGUGAAUAAAGUUUUCGGAUCGUAAAGCUCUGUUGUAAGAGAAGAACGAGUGUGAGAAUUGAAAGUUCACGCUGUGACGGUAUCUUACCAGAAAGGGACGGCUAACUACGUG
rnacentral:rRNA from 1 species